GUCAGGAUGGCAAAGCGGUCUAAGGCGCUGCGUUCAGGUCAGUCCACUUGUGUGGGCGUGGGUUUUUGUAUCCUACUUCUGACA